GCCAAGCCAAAAGCCAAACGAGAUGAGGCUGAGGCUCUAACACCUGGUGAAGGUCAUCCUCCUGCAUCAUCCCAUGGUGGAAGAUGGAAAGGCAAGGAAGUAUGGGGGAGGAAGCAAGACUACCCUUAUGCUAACUAACCCAUGACAACACAUGGCAGACCUCACCACUGGUUUUGGGUUUCCAUCGCUGUGAAGAGACACCAUGACCAAGGCAACUCUUAUAAGGGAAAUAUUUAACUGGGCCUUGCUUAUUGGUUCAGGGGUUCAGUCCAUUAUCAUUAUGGC
ensembl:lncRNA